CGGACCUGGUUCAGGGACAGUCUGGGUCCCACUUCGGAACCGGACCGGGUCCAGGGACGGCCUGGGUCCCACUUGGAAACUGGACCGGGUUCAGGGACGGCCUGGGUCCCACCUGGAAACCGGACCAGGUGCAUUCACGGACUGGGCCUCUCUUCGAAACCGGAUUAGGUCUGAAGUCAGGCUGGAUCCAACUUAAACUGAACUGAGUCUAGUAUGAGGCCUCAGGUUCUGGUGACCAGGACAUCCCACUCCCUCCAAAGCCUGCAGCCAGGAUCCUUGGAAAACUGGCAGAAGCCAGCAGAAGAAAAAAAAGCUCCAAUAAUAGACUAAUUUAGAAUGGGAUGCCUGAAAACAUUUUUAAACUCCAGUUGGUGAGAAGUGGCCUUUCCUAAUUAUCAUCUGAACCUCCAUGCUAUUGAGCUAUGGAUGCCAUGAUUCUUCCCGAGCAAGACCAUUAAACAUAGCACUGGUGACCUCA